rnacentral:rRNA from 1 species
UCCUAAAGGGUUGUUCGAGACUAGAACGUUGAUAGGCAGGGUGUGUAAGUGCUGUGAGGCAUUGAGCUAACCUGUACUAAUUGCCCGUGAGGCUUAACCAU